CAGGCGUCUAAGGUAGGCUCCCACUACAUACCUUACUGAUGAGUCUAGCAGUGAAAAGCCGGGACGAAACGCCAA
rnacentral:hammerhead_ribozyme from 15 species